ACGAGCGCAACCCUUAUUACUAGUUGCCAGCAUUUAGUUGGGCACUCUAGUGAGACUGCCGGUGACAAACCGGAGGAAGGUGGGGACGACGUCAAAUCAUCAUGCCCCUUAUGACCUGGGCUACACACGUGCUACAAUGGAUGGUACAACGAGUCGCGAGACCGCGAGGUUUAGCUAAUCUCUUAAAACCAUUCUCAGUUCGGAUUGUAGGCUGCAACUCGCCUACAUGAAGCCGGAAUCGCUAGUAAUCGC
rnacentral:rRNA from 1 species